CGCCUACUGUAGGUACUUCUUUUUGUGUGUAUCAAAUGUGUAUGUAGUUAUGUAGUAAAUAGCCUGAGCCCGAGUUUGUGUAAUAUACGUAACAAUAAAAAAAACUUCAUUCCAAAUUCUUCUUCUUCUUCUUUAAUACAGGGAUUAGAGUUUGCCUCUUCUGUUUUCAACGAGAAUUAUGACCAUAUUUUGCGAAGUCUUCCUAAACGUCCCUAGAUUGUAAGCGUUGGAAGUGAUGUCCCAAGUUCCACAAUGGCAUUGCAUGCGAUAUAGAAAAUUCGAAUUGGUAAGAAGAUGUAGAAGCUACAAAAACAGUAUCAGGAGGUCAUGACUGAAGAGGUUUCAAUAAAGGCGUAUUGAUCUCAAUUAUUUAUCUAUUUAUACUCUAAUUUAAGCGUAGAUAUAUUAAUAAGUUAAGAUUAUUUAAUAUUUAUGGAAAUUGUACGUACCUAUUUGGAAAUAUAUUUGUCUUAACAUGUACACUAAA
rnacentral:misc_RNA from 1 species